rnacentral:rRNA from 1 species
UGGGGAAUCUUGCGCAAUGGCCUAACGGCUGACGCAGCGACGCCGCGUGAGGGAUGAAGCUUUUCGGAGUGUAAACCUCUGUUGCUCGGGACGAAUAGCGGAUUAUUCCGACUUGACGGUACCGGGUGAGGAAGCACCGGCUAACUCCGUGCCAGCAGCCGCGGUAAUACGGGGGGUGCGAGCGUUGUCCGGAAUCACUGGGCGUAAAGGGCGCGUAGGUGGUCUUGUAAGUCUGUGGUGAAAGCCCGGGGCUCAACCCCGGGUCUGCCGUGGAUACUGUGAGACUUGAGUACUGUAGAGGCAGGUAGAAUAUCGGGUGUAGCGGUGGAAUGCGUAGAGAUCCGAUAGAAGACCGGUGGCGAAGGCGGCCUGCUGGGCAGUAACUGACACUGAGGCGCGA